AUUUAGUAAGUGCGACUUCCGUAGGGAAGUAAGAACAAAUGUGUUAAAUUAACUUCAAAAUUCUUUGCUAAAAUUAAUACAUGUUAAUAAAUUGAUGGAUACUAUUGUAGUUCACAUCAUACUACCUAGGAGUUAAGUGGGCAAUCCGAACAUGAAGUCUUGGGAUGAAAACGUGCAAACCAAAUGAUAUGUAGAAAUAAUAGCCUGGGAAGUAUCAUUUCUCUAGAAGUGAACAUAGUUGAACUAAACAAGACCUAUAUUCUCAUUCCCAUGGAAAUGAGGUCUACCAUGUGACAUUUGUUGUCCCACAUUGUUUGGGAUAAGGUAAGAGUUCAAAUAUAUUGGCUUGGGCAAUCCUUCCCCAUUGAGCUAGCUUUUGGGGUUGAGU
rnacentral:misc_RNA from 1 species